GUGCUCGCUUGGGCAGCACAUAUACUAACAUUGGAACGAUACAGAGAAGAUUAGCGUGGCCCCUGCGCAAGGAUGACACGCAAAUUCGUGAAGCGUUCCGUAUUUUC
rnacentral:snRNA from 1 species